CAAACGUCUCUCUUUUGUUCUCCAAAAGCACUUCAAUUACACACCACUUUUCAACAACCAAAGUACAAGUCGUUUACACGUAAGACCCUCUUUUGACGAUGCUCACCCGCAUAUCUCAGAUCUCACAGGAAGCUUUGGACCUCCGCCCGCCGGGUUCUCCUCUCAGCUCUCUGCUCCGCUGCCCUCACCUCUCUCACUCUCACACCUUCUCUUCUUCUGCCUUUGCUCUUCGUUCUACAGCUUAUGUUUAUUUCGAUUUCAAUUUUCUGCAUUGGAAGAGGCAUUGCUUUUCUACUCAACCUGCACUAGAACUUCCGGCCGGUAAGAUCGUGGAUGUGCCGUUGGCACAAACUGGUGAAGGUAUUGUAGAAUGUGAACUUCUCAAAUGGCAUGUCCAAGAGUUAAUGAGUCCGCAUCGGCUACAGCGGCUCUUGGUAAUUCAAAUAAUGCAGAGCUACUAGAUUUUGAUCUUGAAAAAGGGAAAUGUGCUGCGGUGUUAUCAACACCUGCUGUAAGGAGUCUUGCAAAGCAACAUGGUAUGGACAUAAAUGAAGUAUGUGGAACUGGAAAAGAUGGAAGGGUAUUGAAAGAAGAUGUGCUCAAUUUUGCUGCUAAGAAGGGAAUAAUUAGAAAUGCAUCUGCUGCUUUGCAUGCUGAUAAUGUAGAGAAGUCUCAAGGAACAGAAGGAUAGAGUGUGACACCUGGUAUAAAUCACCAUCAGAGGAUAGGAUACUUCCCCUAAGGGGAUACCAAAGAGCAAUGUAAAAUCAAUGUCUCUGGCUGCCAAGGUCCCACAUUUCCAUUAUGUAGAUGAGAUAAACUGCAAUGCUCUAGUGGAGCUUAAAACAUCUUUUCAGAAAAACAAACCUUCUCCAGAUGUCCAGCAUACUUUUCUGCCAAUAUUAGUCAA